GGCCCCCUACGCCGUGACGUUUCGCCCUUUCCUGGCCUCCCAGCCGUUUCUGCGCAGCCCACGGGCGUCCGACUGGGAUCCAGAGCAGUCAGGGCCAUCCUUAAUAAACUCUUUUGGGGCGGCGCGAGGAGGGAGACGUGUUUGUAGAAAGGAAGUCAGAGAAAUGCCCUCGAGAACCUCGGACCCUGUGAGGUGAGGGAGGAGACGCUCCCGUCGGGGUCCGCUCCGUAGCACGGAAAGCGGAGUGGGGGGAGAGGUCAUGGGGAACGGACUCUCCCGCCCCCCAUUUCAGGCCUGCAGGCCGUGAGUACCCAGAGGUGGCCCAACUCACACACAAGCUCCAGGCUUCUGGGCCCGGCCCCCACCCUCUCCUCUGGCCAGAGAGAAAAGUCGAAAUGCCCCUUCGAAUCGCCUUUAUUCACACUGCGGGGGUGGAGGCGAGGCAGGUGGCUACGGACCGCGCGAUACCUAUCCUAGGCAGAGAAGACCUGCUUGGCCCAGGCACGCUGUCCAUCUUCUGAGCAACUGCUAUUGCUGGGAGAAGGCUCCGGGCAGAGGACCGGAUUAGGACGUAAGCACAGAAAACGAAAGUCUUUCCUGAGCCUCCUAGAAGAAGUUACCCGGUCAGAUGAAGGGAGAGAACAGUGCAGUACAGAGCCUGUGGUAAGGGCUUCAGGCACCUCUCUUCCUCCCGAUUCCUUUGACAAAGCCUGGAACCCAAAGGAAUUCUGAGAUCUCUGGGACCCAGAGCACAAGGCCCACCCACAAGUCUUGAGAUGAAGACACACCGUGGGGUACUUGUUGCAGGGGAAUAAAGGAGCUUCUUCCUAGAAGAGUAACUCACAUGUUGAGGACUCAGCAUUAGCCGUCUACACAGGACCCUCCUGAGAUGUCGAACCUCUGCUCGGACAGAACAACGGACGAACUUGUGCUGGACAGGGAGGGAAGACAGAGAAAGAGCAAUGGACUCCAAGUCAAGCACUCUUAAGUUCAAAUACUGGUCCUGCCCAAUGCCCUUCCCAAGUGUCUGCAUCUGAGAAAUGGGGAAGAUAUAAUCUACCUCCAGGAUUACUUUCACUUUAGUUAGUAAACCUUAAAGUGCUUUAGA